rfam:Beta vulgaris subsp. vulgaris Bvchr1.sca005.con0037.1, whole genome shotgun sequence.
AACUCGUUGUGAGGGCAUGAACAGAUCAUCUCCUUGAACCGCUCCCAAGCUUCCGCAAGUGUCUCAUAAUUCUCUUGCUCAAAUGAGGAGAUCUUCCUCCUUAUGUC